rnacentral:sRNA from 1 species
GAAAUAGCUUUUAUUCCCCGUUACGGAUUUCCUUUGUUUCAGUCGUAUUUCUCCUUGUUCUGAUUUUUUUUUAAUUUUAACUGAUCAAUUAAUCAAUAAUUAAAUGUAGAAGUCAUCAUGAAUAUUCAUUUAGAUGUAUAUAUAUUUCUGUUUGUAAUGUCCCGAACGGAAAGAGAAAGUGCUUAAUAAUGAUGUAUUGAGAGUUUGUUGAUUGCCAGUCAAACGUUUUAUAUGAUUUCAAUGUAGAUAUAUAUAUUUUAUAGCUGGUCAUUGAAACUCUACAUCAUUGUAUUUUUGCUAUUGUUUUUGUUACAAUACCAAUAUUUAGGUCUAAUAAUUGAACGGAUGUGUUGAAUAAAUUGUAAGGCUCUCUUUUUUAUUUAGACUGAAAGGAAUAAUAUUUUUGAAAUUCUAUGCAUUCUAGCUUUUGAAUGAAAAAAAAACCCAAGUGUUGAUGGUUUUCAUCAAUUUUUAAGGAAACGUUUUUGUUUCAAUAUUGUAUGUUGAAUAAUUUAAUAUCUGUUAUUAUUUGAAUUGUUGUCUGCAACAGUGGAUAGCGAGUAUUCUAGUGUGCAUAUAUAUUAUUCAUCUGUCAUCACUUUGAUUAAAAGCAAUAAAUAAUUAAUAAAUAGACUCAUAAAAUG